rnacentral:rRNA from 1 species
CAGCUUUGGUUUAAAGCGUUCUCGCCCGCGUGCUCGAGUUUUUUUGUUGCGUGACGAGUUGUGAAACGUUUAUUUUUUUCACUUAUUUUUCCUUUCGAAAAAAAAACUCAAACACAACACCAUACAGUGGAUCAUUUGGCUCGGGGGUCGAUGAAGAACGGAGCUAGCUCCGAGACGUAAUGUGAACUGCAGGACAUACGAAUAUCGACACUUUGAACGCGCAUUGCGGACAUGCGAUUUCUAUCGCAUGUCCAUGUUUGGGUCAGGGUCGGUUAAACCGAGUUCAGCCUUUAUUGUGCUGUCUGGCGGGACCGGUGGCCUUGGAGCCGUCGGCCCGCCUAAAACCUCCCGCUCGGAUUCUUUCCCGUGAUGCGGAUCCUAUGGUGUUAACUCGCCUGGAUCGCAGGGAAGUGGCCGGGAUGUGGGGCUUGCCGCCUGGGUGCGAGCGAGCGUUUAUUUUUUUCUUCGACCUGACAUCAAGCAAGACUACCCGCCGAAUUUAAGCAUAUUAAUAAGCGGAGGAAAAGAAAACAACUGUGAUUCCCUUAGUAAUGGCGAAUGAAACGGGAAGAGCCCAUCGCCGAAUCGCGAGUCUUUGGAGGCUCUGCGAAAUGUGGCGUUCGGGAGGGUCUUCCGCGACUCAGACGGCCAGUCAAAGUCCAACUUGACAGUGGCCACCGCCCAUAGAGGGUGAUAGGCCCGUAAGGCGGCCGUCUGGUUGUGCUGACCUCUCUCACGAGUCGGAUUGCUUGGGAGUGCAGUCCAAAGCGCGAGGUAAACUCCUCGUCAGGCUAAAUAUGACCCCGAGACCGAUAGCAAACAA